UUUUUCCCAAAGGAGAGAAAAUGUCUUGGAAACUUCUCCAAAGUGAAUGAGAAGUUGUUUUUCCUUUUUAGAGAAGAUCUGCUCCUCCAUCUGACAUCAGCGCAGUCCUACUUCCAUCCAGGCCAUGAGCUUUUGCAGGACUGAUUAUGAAAUUUCUGUAGCAUUCAUUAAAGUACAGGUCGAGCAUUCUUAAACUGGAAAUCUGAAAUCUUAGAUGUUCCAAAAUCCAAAGCUUUUGAGAACCAAUGUGAUGCCGCAGAUGGAAAAUUGUACAUCUACCUUCAUGUUAUGUGUCACAGUGAAAGCACGGGCACUUUCAAAGUGCUGUACAAAAGUACUUUCAGAAGCAUAUGGAACUUGGAAGUUAUGGUUAAAAAUAAAUGAAGACAAUAUUACAUCAAAACCAUUCCAGAGCUCAAAGGGGGCUGGAGGCUGUUUCCAUGGCACCCGCUGUGGCGGCCUACCAGCUGAGUUUGGCAUCGCUGCCUCCACAAAACAGGCCGAACUUUUGUUUGCUACAGCAGCACUAAGACUCCAAAGGCCCAUGUUGACAGAUCUAUCUGGUAUUAAUUCCAGACCCAAGCCCAUCUACUUGCCACUCAAAGCCAAUCCUUGGAGAUGAGAAUUGGUGGGAAGCAAAUCAGGUUUAUUCAAGAUCUGAGAAGAUAGAACUGAACCACUGUCCUUACAAAAGACCAUAUUGGGGAACUCAGGCCCACGAAAGGGCUUUUAUACAGUGGAGAGAAGCAGGGUGACACCAUGACCAGAAGACUGAGCUGAGUAUGGUUCCCCCCCCCCCCGGCCAGAAUAUCAAAAUUGACGUUGGUCUCUUGGGGCUAGUUCCUGUAAUUCUUCAGUCAAAUAUCCCAGAAGGUUAAAUUUCAUAGCAAUUUACAUGUUUCAUGUUAAACAUGCAAUACACAAUUGAUGUACAGAAUGAAAAUAAGGAAGGGCAUUACACAUUCUGGUGUGAUCCCAGGCUCUCUGGACAUCUUGGGUUUUGUAAAUCUAGAGAAAUAUUAUGUAGCAGUUAACAUGUGAAUCAUUUAGGCGUGGUUUGUCUUUAGAAUUUAGAAUGAUAGCCAAAGAGAGGGAAAUUCAAAGGCAGGUCACAAAGGGGAAGCCUCUGUCACAGUACCAUCUCCCACUCUUUCUCCUUCCUCUGCCACAGCCUCUGGACAAGUUUUGCAGUCAUCUCAUUCAUCUAUCUUUCAUU
rnacentral:lncRNA from 1 species